GAUAUGCGCUUUACCUGUCAUUUCCUUGCAGGUUGGGUGAGUCCAAAACCAGAAAACUUACUAAUGACUAAUGUCUGCAAUAAGCGGAAACGACUUUAUGAAGCACAUUCAGCUAUUAACCUUACUAUACUAUACAUAUUAUAAAAUAUGACUGAUGUAAAGACACUCAAGAUUCGACCUCUCAGAUACAAAGUGUAUUUGUUUAUUCAAAAAUUGGUAUGCUGUUAUUUACUUCCAAUCUUAUCUGAUUUCAGUUGACAUGCCUUUUUUAAGAUUGUUGUUACUGGAAAAUAGUUCAGCAUUUAAAAUUCAAUGAAAUCUAAAGUACAUAUUCAACUUAAAAACUAUAUAAACUAUAUAUGUUCUUGAUCAGGAUCCGUCUGUCUGUCCGUCUAUCCGUUCGUAUGAACGUCAAGAUCCCGAGAACUAUAAAAGAUGCCCGCAAUCAUGAAAGUCGACAGAUAUCACAAUAUCACUCUGAGACUAGUUACCCCUUAGCUUUUGGCUGUGUGUGCGUUUUGGUCAUAUCUUUCGGUAGACGCAUUUUAAUUUUCAAAAUCGAGAUAUUAUUUUAGAAGUUAUUAAGUUGCUAAGACGCCGGGGAUAAUGUUAUUUGAAAUUUGUCAACUGAGAAACGGGUAUCUUAUAGUCGAGCAUAACGUUUUUUCUUGCUUUCUUUAAAAAUAAGGAUUUUUCAAUAAGGUCGAUUUUUUUUUUAAUACAAGAACAUAAAAUAAACAAGUUGCACUUACACUCUCAAAGAAGUGAGUUUAGACUUGGAAGCAAAACAUUUCGUGCCGUAUUUAGUUCUUCUGUAAACUUUAUUUGAUUUAAAAAAUAUGUUUUUGUAGGCACUCGUUAAAUAAAAUUAAGGUAUGAAAAGUUUUUAGAGAACGUUGUUAGGAACCCUAUAGAGUUGUUCGUUUUCAUAGAGUUUACUGUCAAACCAGCCAACUUUCUUUCGAUUCGUUGAAAGCAAAUCUCAUUUCCCUACUUGUCAGCAGCCGCAACGUUUCUUACAAAUUGUAAUACAAACUUUCUAGUCCUAGGAAAAUUUCAAUAAUUAAUCAAUUUCAAUCCGUCGAACUGCGCAUGUGCAACCUGCAUCAAUACUUUAACAUCUCAAACAAGUUGUUUAGCCGAAAUUUCUCCCAAAUUGUUGCACUUUGAGAUUCCGAUAGGCAUGAAUGUCAAUGUUACGGGUGAAUAUACGCUGGCUGAGAUCGAAGUGGUUGUGGACACGGAGUUGAGUCCCGAUGACCUGCAACCCGGAGCCACAGUGCUGGCAUCCAACGAGGGUGAGGGCGACCUGGAGAAGAUCGUCAGCCACGAGGAGCUCUCUAGGUUUUUUACCGUGACGCCGUCGGCAGCCAUCCAAAUGCCCACCGAAGUGGUGGUGGAGCGCACCCUGGCGGAUCCGGCUCUCAAGCAGAUCCUGCAGGAGGCUGACGGCAAGAAGGGCUUUGAUCCGCAGGCGGAGCAACUGAAGAUUCGCGAAUUUUUGGCCGGGGUCAAAAGCAGCAAGAUGACCACCGAGCAGUCGGUGUUUCAUGUACCGCGUUCCAGCUCAUUUGGAACCACCAGCUGUCGCAUAAAAUGCCCCCAAUGUCUGGUUCAGUACGAUACUGCCGCCUUCCAGAGCCACUCCUGCGAGUUCGAUGUCGAGCGGAAGCCCGUAGAAGUGGUAGUUUCCCAGCAAGAGAAGCCUCUGCCUGUCCCGACUGGGUGUGCUUCUCCUGCUGCUGCUGCUGCUCCGCCCAGCAAACCGAGCAGCGAGCGUGUGAUCCUUGAGAACCAGGCGCGCCUUUGUCGCUACAUGAAGGACGAGAUGAAGUACGACCUGACCACUGGCAUCGAUAGCUCGCGGAACCGGAAGUCGGGUAAGGGACCCAACGAGUGUACCAUGUGCGACCGCAAGUUUGUGCAUGCUUCGGGAUUGGUGCGCCACAUGGAGAAGCACGCCCUGGAUCUGAUCCCUUUGGCGACCAGCCUGCAACCGCAUACAGUUCCGGCUGCCGGCCUCCAUGUGCUGGUCAAGUGCAACGUCUGCGGUCGACUUUUCUACGAUCCGCAGGUGGCCCUGGAGCACGGGCUCAUUCACUUUCCGGAGCAGCCACGUCUGUGUGAUUUUCCCGAAAUUCGAUCCUCCAACGCCGAGCUGGAUUUAAAGGAGUUCAUGCUGGAUAGCGAGAUGUGGCUGGCGGGAGAGGUCACAAUCACAACCGCGCAGCAAAAGAUUAGCCGACUGGAGAAGGACUUGUUCACCAGUUUGAUCCUGGGCAGCAUUCUGCAGUGCGAGUUCUGCGAGUACAUCUUCGCCGACAUCGCAGAGCUGCUCGUCCACUCGGCCUCCCAUGUGGCAGAGCGGCGAUUCGAGUGCACCGCUUGCGACAUCCAGAUGAGCACGGCCAAGGAGGCCAGCAUCCACUUCCAGACGGACUGCAUCUUCAUGCGGGAGGCGAACAGGUCGCUAAAUGUCACACUGAGUCGUUACUUUGUGUGCAAUGUGUGCGAGUUGAAGUUCGCCAACACGGACCUUCUGCAGGAGCAUCGGUACACCUCAUAUCACUACUUUCCGCGUCUCAACGCGAGUGGUAAGAAGCUGCUGCUGCCCUGCGAGUUCUGCGAUGUCAACUUCGAGUUUGCAAACGAGAUCCAGGCGCACAAUGAGGAGAAGCAUUUAAACAAGAAGAAACGCGAGAAGGAGACCCGCAACACGGGCACUGGUCGCUUGCGUCAGUACCUCUGUGACAUCUGCGGGAAGUCCUACACCCAAUCUAGUCAUCUGUGGCAGCACCUGCGCUUCCACCAGGGUGUCAAGCCCUUUGUCUGUCAGGAGGAGAACUGCGACAGGAAGUUUACCAUCCGACCAGAUCUGAACGACCACAUCCGGAAGUGCCACACGGGCGAACGACCAUAUCUCUGUUUGGUGUGUGGCAAGCGCUUCCUGACCGGAUCCGUCUUCUACCAGCACCGGCUCAUCCAUCGAGGCGAAAGGCGCUACGAGUGCGAGGAGUGUGGCAAGCGGUUCUACCGGGCGGAUGCCCUCAAGAAUCACCAGCGCAUCCACACCGGCGAGAAGCCGUAUAGCUGCCUCUUCUGCACCAAGACCUUCCGGCAGCGUGGCGACAGGGACAAGCACAUCCGGGCGCGACACGCCCACCUGGACGCCAAUUCGCGACUGAUGAUGCAGAUGCAGAAGUUUCAGCUGGAGUCGGCUGCAGCCGCUGCCCUUCAGGCCAAGCAUCAUCCGGACGAGCAAGCUCCUGCGGAGGAGGCCUCUGGCUCGGGGUCCGGAUUGGCAGAGACUGGCGAUCCUGGGAUGCAGUACUCCGUCCUGCCAGAGCAGAAUGACGAAUUGAUGUGCCUGUCAAUGAACGGCGUGAACAACAAUUUCCUUAUGUCGCAGUAUGGCCAGGCAGUGCCAAUGGAGGCGAGUGGCUCAGAGCAGGACAUAAUCGUCUUCGAAGAUCCGGCCCAACAGGAUAUGGAUAUGUUGAGCAUGUUCGAGCCGCAGCCGGGUAAGCCGCCAAUGCAAGGUGGUGAAAAUGCCAAGGUGGUUGUUGUCAAGAACAAUCCGUCCCAACCACUGUUUUCGGAUACCUAUAUGUAAGAGUCGAAUUCGAAUUUGAAUAAAGCGCCAGAGGAAUAGAGGGGCCACUGGCUAAUGGUGAUGCCACUUUGGUAGUGGCUACGCCCUCUGCAGAGUGGUGUUAAAUAGUGAGUGCAUUUCAGCAGAUGUUAAGAAUUUCAACAGAAAGUGGGCAAGAAAUGGAGUGGAACCUGGCUAAGUGUUCAAGAACUUGAGUGAAGUGCGCAUGAACUGCCGUGAAAUCGGUAACAGUGGGCUAGAACUUGAGUGAGAAGUUAACAGAGGCAAGAAAAUAUCGUUAGAGACGGAUAAGCAUUAAAAGCUCUGCCAAACAUUGAUGAGACUGACCUAUUGAAAACAUCGCUGUAAGCAAUGCCCCACCUCUAGCGGUGAAUUUUAGUGAUUGUGGGUUUGUGUUUCGCAGUGAAAUGUUAGCCAAACGUCCAACUAACAGCGGAAUGUUAGCCAAUCGUCCAACUAACAGAAAGAUAUCGUUAGUGAUGGAAGAACAUUGAUAGUCCCUGCCAAACAUCGAUAAGACCGAUAUUGUGAAAACAGCGAAGUCAUCGAUGUUUUUGCACCUCAGACUGCCCUCCCUAGUUCCUUUUCUUUUUCUUUCUCGUCGAAAAACGCCAACAUGGGUUUCGCUACUCUCUGGUACUCGCACCCCCGCAAAUACGGCCAAGGCUC